AUGAGUUGUGAUGGGGUUUGAUGCUGGCAGCCAAUUCUUGGAUGCAUGUGCUUGCCCUAACAAUCAUCUUCCAAACACCUGUGCACAUUUUUGAGGGAGUUUUGAGUUGAUUGCCGUUUUUGGGCGAUUUUCUCGCAUUCCCUUAAAUCAUUAUACGCUAUUAACAAUGUUGAACGUGCUCUGUGCCGCGAGGCCAUUAAUAUAAUA
rnacentral:misc_RNA from 1 species